rnacentral:sRNA from 1 species
GAAGAGUUAAUACCGGGAAUCGCCAUGAUGGAAGGUUAAGAAUACACGCAAUUUCAUAGUCUGACUAUGGACCCUAGGACUUGGGCCCAGGAUGUGUUACGGUGUCGUCUCUGUGAGACUCCAGGUCCCUCUAUGCACUGUGAUAUUUGUCACAUACAUUUGUGCAAAGCCUGUGUGGGAGAACAUCUCUCAGAUCUAUCCAAAGAACACAAAUUAGUGCAUUUUGAAAAUCGAGGAUCUUCUCCAAAUUACCCCAAGUGUCUUAAACAUUCCACAAAACAAUGUGAACUUCACUGUGAACAAUGUGACAUUCCUAUUUGCACUCUCUGUAUUUCUGGAGAACAUUUAGGACAUAAACCAGUUGACAUUGUUGAACAUAUUGAAAGCAAAAAAGAACUUUUACAGAGAGAAAUGGAAGAAUUGGAGAAAUUCGUUUAUCCUAAAUAUCAACAGAUUGCCUCUAACAUUUCAGAACAGAUAGUUGCUCUAAAUGAAAACUCACAGAAAUUGACAAAUGAUAUAGACGAACAUGGAGCAACCUUGCACAGAGACAUAGACACCAUGAUCAAGAAUUUGAAAUCUGAUCUCAAUGAUAUGCACUCCAAACACAUAGAUAUGUUAGAUAAACAGGAAAAUGAAAUCAAACACACAAUUUCCGAAAUCACGCAGAACAUUACUGAACUGAAGAAAUUGCUGGACUCCAAUGAUAUCAGCCUUGUCUCUGCCUACAAAUCCAGGAACGAUGAAUUCAGAAUAUUGCCUCCUAAACUCACAGUUUCCUUACCAAUCUUUACUCCUCAGAAACAACUUUAUCAACAGUUUGGUUCUCUGUCAGCGUUAUCUAUCAAAACAGAGGAACAAGUCUAUGCAAUGGAUUUUCCUAAUGUUGAGUCCUCUUCCCCGGACAGACCACUCCUUGAUGUACCACGGAUUACCACAGAGAUAAACACCGCGUAUGGAGGCUUCAAUACGUUUCGCAAUGUGUCCUGUCUGACAGAUAGAGAAGUGUGGACGUGUGGUCAGGACAACAAGCUGAGACUCUACAACCUACGGGGAAAACUAAUGAAGUCAGUCCAAACCAAGUCAGGGAAGACGCCAACAGACAUAGCAGUGACAAAGAGUGGGGCUCUAGUUUAUACUGAUUACGACGAUAGAACUGUAAACAAAGUGAAGAAUAAUAGGAUAAAGACAGUGAUCAAACUAUUGGGGUGGAGACCUCUUAAAGUCUGUAGUACAUCCUCUGGGGACCUCCUGGUUGUCAUGGACAGUGAUAGUGAUAAACAAACAAAAGUUGUGCGUUACUCUCGCUCAACAGAGAAACAAAGUUUUCAAUUCGAUGACAAAGGACAGCCUCUCUAUUCACCUGGUGGAUUUCGUAACAUUAAAUACAUCAGUGAGAACAGAAACCUAGAUAUCUGUGUGUCAGACCAUGACGCCCGUGCAGUAGUGGUGGUCAAUCAGGACGGGAAACUCCGGUUUACCUACAAUGGUCCUCCAUCUACCGUCUUUUCUCCACGCGGCAUCGCAACAGACAGCCAGAGUCGGAUCCUGACAGCAGACCAAUUCAAUCGUAUUCACAUCCUGGAUCAGGACGGACAGUUCCUCCGCUAUAUUAACUGUGAUUUGCAUUAUCUUUUUGGUUUAUGUGUGGACACCAUAGAUAACCUCUUUGUGGCUGAGAACCACACAGGUACAGUAAAAAAAAUCCAGUAUUACAUGUAAACAAACUGUGUGUAUACAAACAUAUGUCGACUGUGGGUAUGUUUCAUUAUUAUGAAAUGUAUGUUUAAUAUGUUCAUAUAAUGUGCGUGUAUUAUUGAAUUGAAUCCUGGGAAACUGAAAAAAACUCCCAGAAGAUUAUAUCAUGUUAUAUCAUGUUCCAAUCAACUUUUUUCAAGAGAAAACUCUAAAAUGUAUUUUCUUAUAUACAUUUGAGAAAGGGAGAUCAUCAUUCCAAAUCAUGACCCCUACUGUCUGCCAUACAAACCAAGUUAUAUCUCCAUUAGACAAACUGUCAGAUGAUCUGUUGACCCUUCAGAAAGUUCAACUAAAUUUGUCACUUUAUCCAUCAAUAAAUUCACAUAAAAAGAU